UGGGGAAUUUUGGACAAUGGGCGAAAGCCUGAUCCAGCAAUGCCGCGUGUGUGAAGAAGGCCUUCGGGUUGUAAAGCACUUUUGUCCGGAAAGAAAUCCUUGGCUCUAAUACAGUCGGGGGAUGACGGUACCGGAAGAAUAAGCACCGGCUAACUACGUGCCAGCAGCCGCGGUAAUACGUAGGGUGCAAGCGUUAAUCGGAAUUACUGGGCGUAAAGCGUGCGCAGGCGGUUUGCUAAGACCGAUGUGAAAUCCCCGGGCUCAACCUGGGAACUGCAUCGGUGACUGGCAGGCUAGAGUAUGGCAGAGGGGGGUAGAAUUCCACGUGUAGCAGUGAAAUGCGUAGAGAUGUGGAGGAAUACCGAUGGCGAAGGCAGCCCCCUGGGCCAAUACUGACGCUCAUGCACGAAAGCGUGGGGAGCAAACAGGAUUAGAUACCCUGGUAGUCCACGCCCUAAAACGAUGUCAACUAGUUGUUGGGGAUUCAUUUCCUUAGUAACGUAGCUAACGCGUGAAGUUGACCGCCUGGGGAGUACGGUCGCAAGAUUAAAACUUAAAUGAAUUGACGGGGUCAUAGCUGUUUCC
rnacentral:rRNA from 1 species